rnacentral:pre_miRNA from 1 species
ACAUUAAUUGCCUGGGGAUCUUGUUAAAAUGUAGAUUCUGGUUCAGAAGGCCUAGCGUGAGGCUGAGAGUCUACAGUUCUGACCAGCUCCCAGGUGGUGCCUGU